UGCCCGCCUCCCUCAUGUGCAUGCACGUGCUUGGUCGCUCUCUCAAAAAAAAUCUCUGUGGUAUUGUGUUUACUUGAGAAACACAGGAGGACAUUUUCAUACACAUUUCAAACACUGGAGGCAUCUGAUUAAUGUUUGUCUCCGUCACUAGACUGUUGGCUCCAUGAAAGCAGUCUUAGAUAAGACUGUGUCAGUGUGGGGAGCCCCUAUCCCAGGAGAAAUGAGGUCUGCACCCUGCGCAGGGCCCCAGGUUGGAUCACAGGCUGCAGUCUGGCUCUCAGCAAGACCAGCUUCCCAGUGGUGAGUGUGCAUCCCUGUGCACACCAGGUAGAAAGAAUGCAUGGAUACCUGACUGGACCUCAUCGCUCACUCCCUGGUUUCUCUUCUGCUCCUGUGCUUGCUGAAACUGGCCCCUGGCUCUUGAUUGGGGUUGUCAUCUGGGGACGACCAGCAGCACCAGGAGAAAUGCCCUGGAGGCCGUCAUCUUUGUUUUCACUGAUGCCUCUGGGAUGCAUUCGGGCAUCAUGAACUUGGCUCCUCCUCCCUCAUGCCCAGCGGGCUGCCGCUGCUGCAAGCAUGCUACGUAGACAGGGAGCAGCGCCAGCCUUUAGAGCCUCAUCCUGCGGUCUGCGUGGGGUUGCUGGACCCCAGGAUCCCUCAAGGCAGGAAGCAGAUGCCACACUGCAGGGUCGCUGAAGUCACCAACUCUAAAUGUCCGAGGGUGGAUCUCUAACCAGCCAGGGGAUGCUGCCUCUUCCCACAAGGGGGUUAGAGGACCAGAAGUUCAAGGGGAAGACUCCUCGCUGUCUUCCCAGGUUCCCGAAGCCCGACUUCCCUGGGAAAACUUGGCCUCCCGUAUGCCAAGGAUGUUAAUUCUGCCUUCCAACCAAAACUGUUAGCUCUUCAAGGGCCAGGACCUUAUUAUAUAGCUCAUUAGCUCCCAUAGCACUGAGUUCCCUCAGACAUUGCUGAGUUUUGAAACCUCAUUGCUGAAAGACUUAAAAACACUCAGCAUCAGCAGGGCAGCGGGAAUUGCCGAUGAAAAGAAAAAACAGGAAAUGACCGCAGUCACAUCUAAGGCAAGACAACGUUUUUCUUAGGAGCGUGGGGCCUGAUUUGGAUUCGGGAAGUUCCCUUUGGUCGUGCAGAGAUGCCAACUGCCCAGGCAGGAUGCUCUGCACUGGGGACAGUGGCUGAGGGAAUGGAAGCUGAAUGAGUUGCCCCUUAGGAGCCCACUGCAGGGAACCUGAGGACCAUGAAUGCUCUGAACCAUCCAGGAACAUGACCAUCCCAGCGAACAAAUGUCCGUGAGGCCAUGCAGGUCGUAAACUCAGCAGUGACCCCAAAAUAUCACGGUCAGAAGCACCAGUGCUGGUGGACAGAGCCGACUUUCCAAGUCUCUCACGUCUCAAGGUUUGGAAGCAAAAACCCUGAGAAAACCCCCAAGGUUCUUGUGUAAUGUAAGGGUAGUGGGCGGGGGGAGCCUAACUAAUAAGGGCAUUUAGGGACCCAUGGGUUAACUGGAAGAAAAUGAAGGCUUUGUGUGCCAAGCUGGUGCAGGCAGAUGACUCUAGCCAGGUGCAUUUGAGGUAGGGCUGGCUCUCUCCAGCACCUCUGCGUGGGCUCGGGCAGCAGCUGCAGCACGGCCGACCUUUCUUGGCUCCUCCUUGGCUGGGAAGGGCCACGUCGGGAAAUGAGGGGUUAGGGCAGGCAGAUAAUUCACAGCUAACAGAGGUUCCUCCUUUUCGCAAUAUCCAAAUUGGAGCCAUAAAAUCUUCUUCACAGGGAAAAAAAAAAAAAAGGACAAAUUCCUAUUCUUCGGAGAAUGGCCUGAAGCUGAUAAUUUUAGCAUUACGUAUAUAUUCCCUUUUAAGGGCCUGAACAAAUCCUACAAAAUCAGGGAUUUAUUAUUUUAAUUGUAGUUGCUCUGGCUCACACUUUAGUGUUUGGCCUUUGUUGCAACCCAUCCCGCACAGAAAGCGUCUGCCAUUUUUGCCUUCCAGAAGGAUGAAGAGUCUCACAGGGACUUCUGAAGUGCUAGUGCUCUGUACCAGGGGUGGUGAGGUGCAGGACAUAAGCAGAGCAUGUGAGCCAUCACCAGUUUGGAUUCCUCUCUGCUGCCUGUAUCACCACCCAAAGCAGAAUCAGUCUCAGGCUUGCUGAAUCUUAGGUCAGUUCUUUCCACGGUGGCUUGAGUGUGGGCUUGGAGAAGAAAACAUAACUCCGUUCUUACAAUCAGGUUGAUAUUUAUCAGGGUGUGGUCAUGGCUAAAGGCAAAAUGUUAGAGCCCCUGUCAUUCAGCAUAGAGCAUGAACUCCAUUUAUUUUUCCAAGAACAGGGUUAAAAUCUCUCACCCAAAAUAACCAAAUUAUAUGAGACUUUUAAUAAAGUUUACUUGCUUCAUCCUGA